rnacentral:rRNA from 1 species
UACGUAGGGGGCAAGCGUUGUCCGGAUUUAUUGGGCGUAAAGCGCUCGCAGGUGGUUCGUCGCGUCGUGCGUGAAAGACCCCGGCUCAACUGGGGGAGGUCGUGCGAUACGGGCGGACUGGAGGCCAGUAGGGGGAUGCGGAAUUCCGGGUGUAGUUGUGGAAUGCGUAGAGAUCCGGAGGAACACCAGCGGCGAAGGCGGCAUCCUGGACUGGUCCUGACACUCAUGAGCGAAAGCGUGGGGAGCGAUCCGG